AGAAAAGUUUAAACAAGUACACUCUCUAAAAACCAAACAACCACCUCAAAACAGAGCUUAUUACUAACACAGUACCUCAAGGGAUACUUGAAAUAUAGUUAAAACGAAAAAUAGAAAAGGAGGCUUAACCUUACCUUUUGCAUCAUGGCUUAACAAGAAAAUCCACGAGAAAAGCACUCGAACACCCGAAAGGCCGUGAGCUAACUUACCCUGUCAAAGAACUUUGUCCCUACUGUUACAAUAGUAGGAAAGAAGGAGAAGUUAGAGGUAAAAUGCCUAUCGCACUGCCUGAUAGCUGGUUUUUGGGGAAAGAAGUAUAAGCUUCCUUACCUAAAGAACGAGAAUUUAGUAUUUUAUAAACUAAAGACCACUUUACAGACUAAGGAGAGAGCUGAAGAUAAGUUCCGCUCUCAAAAGGGAAACAACCCCUAGCGUAAGCAAAAUCGUUAAAAACAAGGGAAAAUAACCAAAGUAGGCCUAAAAGCUGCCAAUUAGAAAGAAAGCGUUAAAGCUCGAACCUAAUAUCCCAAUAAUUUCCGAUACAAGAAUCAACCUUCGCUACAAGUACCUGAAAUAAAUAAUGUUAAGAUAAGUAGAAAGAAAUCCCUCUUCACCCCACAAAGAACUUUUUAACCACAAAAUCAACAGAGCAAAACUCGAGAAAGCUCCUCAUAACAUACUACCAACACAGGUGUGGGAGAAGAAAACCGGAGAACCGGGAGGGAAGGAACUCGGCAAACCAGAAAAAGGACUGUUUACCAAAAACAUAGCCCUCUGAAUCUAUAAAGGGUCCCGCCUGCCCAGUGGCUUAAGGCUAAACGGCCGCGGUAUCUUGACCGUGCAAAGGUAGCAUAAUCAUUUGUCUUUUAAAUGGAGACUCGUAUGAACGGCGAAACCUUUUUCAACUGUCUCCCCUCCCACCCUUUUAAAUUUCUUCCUGUGUGAAGAAGCACAGAUAUAUUAGAAAGACGAGAAGACCCUGUCGAGCUUUAGUCACCAAGUGGACCGCUUCCUUUUAAGGUACCACCUAAAGGCUUUGGUUGGGGCAACCAUGGAGAAAAAAAAUCCUCCAGAACAAAUAGAAGAAAACCCUUCACUAUUUUAAAAUUAAGAACCAGGAACUGGUAUUCGGAAAAAGUUACCGCAGGGAUAACAGCGUCAUCUCCUCUAAGAGUCCUUAUUGACGAGGAGGUUUGCGACCUCGAUGUUGGAUUGGGGCCCCCUUAGGGUGCAGAAGCUCUAAACGGUUAGACUGUUCGUCUAUUAAAGCCCUACAUGAUCUGAGUUCAGACCGACGUGAGUCAGGUCAGCUUCUAUCUUCUUCAAGAUCCUCCUAGUACGAAAGGACCGGAAAAUCCCUUUAAAUAGUUACCUCUAAAAAGGACAUAAAUUAUAAAAAUUAUUACAAAAUUGCCACCAUUAACCCACAAUGUCAACCCCCAUCCUAACCCAAAAGAUUCCCUAUAAAGCUUAAAACUACACACAAAAACUUUUUUUUUAAUUUCCCACAAGGGGGGGGCCUUGUGAAUCUUCAACUUACAAAUC
rnacentral:rRNA from 1 species